UAUCGCUGGAGGUUUUGAGGACCAUCGAUGGGCAGCUUCUAAAGGAACUGAUACCUUCCAUUGGCCUACGGUCUACUUUCAUCUCGAAGAGAGAACAGUUCUUGAAAAGCAGGGAACGGAGUCAUUUGAUGGAACCAGAAUCUACACCUGGCGGGUCAGUUGAGGUUCUAGCGAUACAUCACAUUUCAUCAAACACUACUGUAGUCGGACCAAGUUCACCGCUUAUUCCAACGCCAACUCCUUCCACUUCAGUUCCAACAUGCUCUUCAGUUUCAACGCGCUUUUCAGUUCCAACGCGCUCUUCAGUUCCAACUUCCAGUUCAGUUCCAACUUCCAGUUCAGUUGCAACCAGCCCAGUGGCA